rnacentral:rRNA from 1 species
GAUCCUGGCUCAGGAUGAACGCUGGCGGCGUGCUUAACACAUGCAAGUCGAGCGAAGCACUUUCUCGGAAGUUUUCGGACGGAAGAGGAUUUGACUGAGCGGCGGACGGGUGAGUAACGCGUGGGGAACCUGCCUCAUACAGGGGAAUAACAGAUGGAAACGUCUGCUAAUGCCGCAUAAGCGCACACUGUGGCAUCACAGAGUGUGAAAAACUCCGGUGGUAUGAGAUGGCCCCGCGUCUGAUUAGGCAGUUGGCGGGGUAACGGCCCACCAAACCGACGAUCAGUAGCCGACCUGAGAGGGUGACCGGCCACAUUGGGACUGAGACACGGCCCAAACUCCUACGGGAGGCAGCAGUGGGGAAUAUUGCACAAUGGGGGAAACCCUGAUGCAGCGACGCCGCGUGGGUGACGAAGUAUUUCGGUAUGUAAAGCCCUAUCAGCAGGGAAGAAGAUGACAGUACCUGACUAAGAAGCCCCGGCUAACUACGUGCCANCAGCCGCGGUAAUACGUAGGGGGCAAGCGUUAUCCGGAUUUACUGGGUGUAAAGGGAGCGUAGGUGGCAUGGCAAGCCAGAAGUGAAAACCCGGGGCUUAACUCCGCGGAUUGCUUUUGGAACUGUCAGGCUGGAGUGCANGAGGGGCAGGCGGAAUUCCUGGUGUAGCGGUGAAAUGCGUANAUAUCAGGAGGAAACACCGGUGGCG